rnacentral:rRNA from 1 species
AUAUCAAUAAGCGGAGGAAAAGAAACCAACAGGGAUUGCCCCAGUAACGGCGAGUGAAGCGGCAACAGCUCAAAUUUGAAAUCUGGCUUCUGUGGAGCCCGAGUUGUAAUUUGUAGAGGAUGUUUCGGGUACCGCGACGGCUUAAUUUUCUUGGAACAGAAUGUCAGAGAGGGUGAGAAUCCCGUCUGGAGCCGCGGUAGGGCCCAUGUGAAACUCCUUCGACGAGUCGAGUUGUUUGGGAAUGCAGCUCAAAAUGGGUGGUAAAUUUCAUCUAAAGCUAAAUAUUGGCCAGAGACCGAUAGCGCACAAGUAGAGUGAUCGAAAGAUGAAAAGCACUUUGAAAAGAGAGUUAAACAGUAUGUGAAAUUGUUGAAAGGGAAGCGCUGGCAACCAGACUUGCGUGCGGGGGCUCCCCCUUGCUUCUGCUCGGGUUACUCCCCCGUAUCCAGGCCAACAUCGGUUUGGGCGGCCGGUCAAAGGCCUCGGGAAUGUAUCUUCCCCCGGGAAGACUUAUAGCCCGGGGCGUCAUGCGGCCUGCCGGGACCGAGGAACGCGCUUCGUGCUCGGAUGUUGGCGUAAUGGUUGUCAGCGA